GGGGGAGUGGUCUCAAUGGUUAAGAUACUGGGAGGCAACGUAACAGUCGGGCUACGGCCGUUCGCCAGCGGUUGGACUUGGCUUUGCCUCUCUAAACCCCGUGCGGGAAUCUCGGUGAUACUGGUUCGAAUCCGGUCUCUUCCA